UACAGAGGGGGCAAGCGUUGUUCGGAAUUACUGGGCGUAAAGGGCGCGUAGGCGGCCUGUUAAGUCGGACGUGAAAUCCCUCAGCUUAACUGGGGAACUGCGUCUGAUACUGGAUGGCUUGGAUUCGGGAGAGGAAUGCGGAAUUCCAGGUGUAGCGGUGAAAUGCGUAGAUAUCUGGAGGAACACCGGUGGCGAAGGCGGCAUUCUGGACCGAUAUUGACGCUGAGGAGCGAAAGCCAGGGGAGCAAACGGG
rnacentral:rRNA from 1 species